AGUGAACGCUGGCGGUAGGCCUAACACAUGCAAGUCGAACGGCAGCACAGUAAGAGCUUGCUCUUACGGGUGGCGAGUGGCGGACGGGUGAGGAAUACAUCGGAAUCUACUUUUUCGUGGGGGAUAACGUAGGGAAACUUACGCUAAUACCGCAUACGACCUACGGGUGAAAGCAGGGGAUCUUCGGACCUUGCGCGAUUGAAUUAGCCGAUGUCGGAUUAGCUAGUUGGCGGGGUAAAGGCCCACCAAGGCGACGAUCCGUAGCUGGUCUGAGAGGAUGAUAAGCCACACUGGAACUGAGACACGGUCCAGACUCCUACGGGAGGCAGCAGUGGGGAAUAUUGGACAAUGGGCGAAAGCCUGAUCCAGCAAUACCGCGUGGGUGAAGAAGGCCUUCGGGUUGUAAAGCCCUUUUGUUGGGAAAGAAAAGCAGCAGGUUAAUACCCCGAUGUUCUGACGGUACCCAAAGAAUAAGCACCGGCUAACUUCGUG
rnacentral:rRNA from 1 species